AUGGUAUUGACUCUGUCGCCUGAAUUGCUCGUCUGCACCUCCGUCCUCCUCCUACUUUUAGCCUUCUGCAUGUACACAAAGCCUAGGAGAUCAAAGCAUCCAUUGCAAACGACGGAUUGGCCAAUACUUGGCAUCCUCCCUUCACUCAUCCUCAACCUACACAGGUUCCACGAUUACAUCACCGAAGUCCUCCCCUCCUAUGAGCAUAACCUCAAGUCGUGCUUAACUAGCAUGCGCUUCUUGAUCACUUGUGACCCGACCAAUGUCCGGCACGUUUUCACCUCAAACCACACAAACUACCUCAAGGGCAAGGAGUUCUCGGAGAUGUUCGACGUUACAGACGGCAGCUUCUUCACCGUCGACGGCGAGCCAUGCCGCCGGCAGCGUGCUAGGAUUCAGAGCAUAUUCAGCAGCCCGCGGCUGCUCGCCUUGAUGGCCGACUGCUGCCGUGACAAGGUGGAGAAGGGCGUUACCCCGUUCCUGACACGUAUGGUGACCACCGGGGCCCCGUUUGACAUGCAUGAUUUGAUCACGAGGUUCGCGUUCGACGUGACCGCCACGCCCAUCUUCGGCGUGGACCCUGGUCUCCUCUCAACCGGCGGCCAUAACAUGCCACUACAACCCACGCAUGCCACCGUCGCCAUGGAUACCGUCAUGGAGGUGGCACUGCUCCGCCACGUCCUGCCAGUGUGCUGCUGGAAAGCGAUGAGGUGGCUAAACAUUGGCCCAGAGAGAAAGCUCGCCGUGGCGCAUAAAGUGCUUCGUGGGUUUAUAGCAGAGAUGAUGGAGAGGAGCAAGCUGAUGACAAGCAGCCAUACUGGUGAUCAGGAGGGUCCUGUUGGCCCCGUAGACAAUAUUAUGUCUACAUACAUCAACGAUCCAGAAUACAACGAUGGCCUGCUCUGCGCGACGCUCAUCAACUUCAUGAUCGCUGGGAGGGACACCAUCGGCACGGCGUUGCUAUGGCUCUUCUACAGCCUCGCCCAGAACCCUGACGUCGUGUCCUGUAUCCGGAAAGAAUUGUUCCCUAUUGCCUCGGGCAAAGCAGCACACGCCAGCACCAUGGUUAUAUUUGAGCCCGAGGAGACUAAAGCCCUUAUCUAUUUGCACGCCACUUUGUUCGAGUCUCUCAGGCUGUUCCCUCCGAUCCCCAUCGAGCGCAAGACGGUGAUCGCUGACGAUGUGAUGCCGAGCGGCCACGGGGUGUGUGCUGGUGACACCAUCCUCGUCUCCCUCUACUCCAUGGGGAGAAUGGAGCAGGUGUGGGGGCAGGACUGCCGGGAGUACAAGCCGGAGAGGUGGCUCUCUGGAAACGGCAGCGAGCUACGGUAUGUGCCAUCUCACAAGUUCUUGGCGUUUAACUCGGGGUCUAGGAUGUGCCUCGGAAAGGACAUUGCCAUCAUGCAGAUGAAGACUGUCGUUGCUGCCAUCGUGUGGAACUUCGACCUGGAAGUGUUGGAAGGGCAUUCUGUCCAACCCAAGUUUUCUUGUAUUCUGCAGAUGAAACAUGGGCUUAUGGUGAAAGUGAAGAAGCGAGAAAUGUAG
rnacentral:rRNA from 1 species